UACGUAGGGGGCAAGCGUUGUCCGGAAUCAUUGGGCGUAAAGCGCACGUAGGCGGAUCUUUAAGUCAGAGGUGAAAUCCCAAGGCUCAACCUUGGAACUGCCUUUGAUACUGGGGAUCUCGAGUCCGGAAGAGGUGAGUGGAACUGCGAGUGUAGAGGUGAAAUUCGUAGAUAUUCGCAAGAACACCAGUGGCGAAGGCGGCUCACUGGUCCGGUACUGACGCUGAGGUGCGAAAGCGUGGGGAGCAAACAGGG
rnacentral:rRNA from 1 species